GUGGGAGUUAGCUGGAGCAGCAGUGACCCUCAGUGUACAUUUAGAGAAAGGAUAAAUGGGGUCACUGUGGGGCAUAUAAUCUAAUCCAUCUGAAAGUUCUGCUUGGCCCCUCUAUUUGGGUGCAGGUAUGGAUGCUUGGCGUCUGCUCUUGUUCCAGGGAUGAUGACCUGACUUCCUCCCUUCCACAUCUUCCAUGGAGGCUGUCUAAUUCUCCGUAUUGCCAGAUCCUGCUACUUUGAGACUGAUGGGAUCGAGUCGUUGUUCUGGGGAACUCCAAGUGAAAAUCGGAGGAGAAUGGAGAGCCGUUGAUGCCCGGGGAUUUCCUAGAACACAGACAACAUUAGCACUAGUGUGCAAGAAGCUGAAGUGUGGAUGUUUCAUGGACAACUAAACAACUUCCAAGAGAAGAGCCAGCUUUUCAGAUGAGGUCUACCUGCUUUCAAAAAUUUCCAAUAAAUAUGGAGACAUGUUUGUUUGGCGAUACAAUGAGCAGCAACACGAUGGAAAUCACCUGCUUAGACUCUGUCAGGCUGAAGAACGGAUCCAGUCGGUGUUCAGGCAGGUUGGAGGUGAAGUCCAAUAACUCGUGGUCCUCCGUGUUUGAAGAUGACUUUGACCUGCUGGAUGCAGAGGUGGUCUGUAGGGAGCUGGGCUGUGGAACUCCUUCAGUCUUCCAGGGGGUGCCAUAUGCAGUUUUAGAGGCUCCUAAGUGGAACAAAGAGUUUCUCUGUGAAGGUCAUGAGUCUGCUCUGCUGGACUGCAACCACGCCAGCAGAGAGAGAAGCUCCCUAGCGGACAAAGUUGUUGACCUCACCUGUUCAGGUGGAGGUGGAGCUACAGCUUUAAAACUGGUUGCAUAUGUUAUCAUUUAUCAAUAACGUAUCUGUUUGUGCCUAUAUGAAGGAAUCAUCCGCUUGGCAGGAGACAUUAGUCACUGUGCUGGAACACUGGAGAUGUUUUACGGUGGAGAAUGGGGACCAGUAGCAGCUUCUAACUGGACCCGGGACUCCGCCUCUGCAGUGUGCGCUCAGCUGGGUUGCGGUUCUGCUAUGUCUUCUAGAAGCAAAGACAACUUUCUAAACAGAUCUGUGUGGUGGAUCCAGCCUCCCUGUGGCCUAUCGCUGGAAGACUGUAACAUCAUGCACUGGGUUGAUCAAAGCGAAUCUACUCUUGAAAUAUGUUCAGUCCAUGUUGUCGGUUUGGUGAUCUGAGGGUUUGUCGUCUUGGUGGGUUUGAUGGCGAUGAUCAUCAUCACCUGCUUCUAUGCCAGGACCGGCAGAAAACCAGACGGAGAACAUGAGAGCAACCGUGACGUUACUGAUGGUUCUGAUUCUGGAAGCUGUACAGAGGAUAGGACUGCAGUGUGAAGGAAAGAAUGAACAGUCGAGGCUGCAGCUGUAAAA